rnacentral:snRNA from 1 species
AUCACUUCUCAGUCUUUUGGCUAAUAUCAAGUGUAGUAUCUGUUUUUAUCAGUUUAAUAUCUGAUAUAUUCUCUACCUGAGGACAGUGUAUCAAAUAGAUGUUUUUUUUUGAUCAAGGAGUUGGAAUAGGAGCUUGCUCUGUCUACUCCAUGCAGUGAUCUGAUAUAGUACUGCACCCCCU